UUGCUAUAUCUUCUUGUCUAGUGA
rnacentral:siRNA from 1 species